UCCGGUUUAACACCGGCAGUCUCCUUAGAGUCCCCAACUUAAUGCUGGUAACUAAGAACAGGGGUUGCGCUCGUUAUUGGACUUAACCAGACAUCUUACGACACGAGCUGACGACAGCCAUGCAGCACCUAUCUCCACGUCUCCGAAGAGAACCUACCAUCUCUGGCAGUAGCGUGGGAUGUUAAGGGUAGGUAAGGUUCUGCGCGUUGCUUCGAAUUAAACCACAUACUCCACCGCUUGUGCGGGCCCCCGUCAAUUCCUUUGAGUUUCGGCCUUGCGACUGUACUCCCCAGGCGGGAUACUUAACGCGUUAACUGUAGUACUCAGAGGGUUAACUCUCCAAACACCUAGUAUCCAUAGUUUACGGCGUGGACUAC
rnacentral:misc_RNA from 1 species